GAUGAAGAACGCAGCCAAAUGCGAUAAGUAAUGUGAAUUGCAGAAUUCAGUGAAUCAUCGAAUCUUUGAACGCACAUUGCGCCCGCCAGUAUUCUGGCGGGCAUGCCUGUCUGAGCGUCAUUUCAACCCUCACGCCCCUAGGGCGUGGUGUUGGGGAUCGGCCAAAGCCCGCGAGGGACGGCCGGCCCCUAAAUCUAGUGGCGGACCCGUCGUGGCCUCCUCUGCGAAGUAGUGAUAUUCCGCAUCGGAGAGCGAUGAGCCCCUGCCGUUAAACCCCCAACUUUCCAAGGUUGACCUCAGAUCAGGUAGGAAUACCCGCUGAACUUAAGCAUAUCAAUAAGCGGAGGA
rnacentral:misc_RNA from 1 species